rnacentral:rRNA from 1 species
AUUGAACGCUGGCGGCAGGCCUAACACAUGCAAGUCGAACGAGUCGCGGACGGGUGUGUAAUGUCUGGGACACCGCCCGAUGGAGGGGGAUCACCACUGGAAACGGUAGCAAAUACCGUAAUACAUGGGAUGUGCACAGAGGGGUUUAUCUAGUAGGUGGGGUCAUGGCUCACCUAGGCGACGAUCCCUAGCUGGUCUGAGAGGAUGACCAGCCACACUGGAACUGAGACACGGUCCAGACUCCUACGGGAGGCAGCAGUGGGGAAUAUUGCACAAUGGGCGCAAGCCUGAUACAGCCAUGCCGCGUGUAUGAAGAAGGCCUUCGGGUUGUAAAGUACUUUCAGCGAGGAGGCGUUACUCGCAGAAGAAGCACCGGCUAACUCCGUGCCAGCAGCCGCGGUAAUUC